rnacentral:rRNA from 1 species
UACGUAGGUGGCAAGCGAUACUCGGAAUCACUAGGCGUAAAGCGCAGGUAGGCGGUUUGGUAAGUCUUUGUGAAAGCUCCCGGCUUAACUGGGAGAGGUCAAGGGAAACUGCCUGACUUGAGUCCGGGAGGGGCGAGUGGAAUUCCUGGUGUAGCGGUGAAAUGCGCAGAUAUCAGGAGGAACACCGGUGGUGUAGACGGCUUCUGGACCGUAACUGACGCUGAGACACGAAAGCGUGGGGUAGCAAACAGG